rnacentral:rRNA from 1 species
CCUACGGGCGGCAGCAGUGGGGAAUAUUGGACAAUGGGGGCAACCCUGAUCCAGCCAUGCCGCGUGUGUGAAGAAGGCCCUCGGGUUGUAAAGCACUUUCAGUGAGGAAGAACGCCUGGUGGUUAAUACCCAUCAGGAAAGACAUCACUCACAGAAGAAGCACCGGCUAACUCCGUGCCAGCAGCCGCGGUAAUACGGAGGGUGCGAGCGUUAAUCGGAAUUACUGGGCGUAAAGCGCGCGUAGGUGGCUUGAUAAGCCGGUUGUGAAAGCCCCGGGCUCAACCUGGGAACGGCAUCCGGAACUGUCAAGCUAGAGUGCAGGAGAGGAAGGUAGAAUUCCCGGUGUAGCGGUGAAAUGCGUAGAGAUCGGGAGGAAUACCAGUGGCGAAGGCGGCCUUCUGGACUGACACUGACACUGAGGUGCGAAAGCGUGGGUAGCAAACAGGCUUAGAUACCCCGGUAGUC